UACGUAGGGUGCGAGCGUUGUCCGGAAUUAUUGGGCGUAAAGGGCUCGUAGGCGGUUUGUCGCGUCGGGAGUGAAAACGCCGUGCUUAACACGGCGCUUGCUUUCGAUACGGGCAGACUAGAGGUAUGCAGGGGAGAACGGAAUUCCUGGUGUAGCGGUGAAAUGCGCAGAUAUCAGGAGGAACACCGGUGGCGAAGGCGGAUCUCUGGGCCUUACCUGACGCUCAGGCGCGAAAGCUAGGGGAGCGAACAGG
rnacentral:rRNA from 1 species